AGCGAGAUGGCGCAGCUGGUAGCGCGCUGGGCUCAUAACCCAGAGGUCCAAGGAUCGAAACCUUGUCUCGCUA
rnacentral:tRNA from 1 species